AUAUCUCUCUGUACGGGAAGGAUGAGAAGCUUCGACUAAGGUUCGAUUCGAGCGUCAGCGAGAAAGCGUUGCCGCAGGCAACGACCCGAAGGGCGAAGCGCGCAGCGCUGAGUCAUC
rnacentral:sRNA from 3 species